UCUCUGCAUCUGAUUCAAGAUUCUGAAAGUCUUGGCAUCUACCCUGGUGCUACUUGAUGAAUUGUAAGACAUGAAAGAAACUGUAUUUUGCCCAUUCCACUUUUUACCUUAGUUGUGGCAUGCCACAUUAUCUGUCACAGAGGGGAAAAACACAUGUGAAUGAAUGUAAUCCAUUUAUUGGUUUAUGGUCACAAAGUCCUCAAGGGAGUGUUCUAAUUCCAGAACGCUGGAUUUUCUAUUUCGGUGAGUUAGCAGAAAGACGUCGCUUCCUAUUCACUGUAUGUCCAGCACUAUCUGGUGAACUCAUCAAAGGUGAAGAGCAACCACAGAAGCAAGGAAGAUAAAAGCAAGGUGCAGCUCAAGACAUCACAUCUGCAUGUUAUGAAGAAUUGCAUGAAAUCUUGACCUUGCUUUCAGUACUUUUGUGCUGAAUUCAAGCAGUGUAAGUCA